rnacentral:rRNA from 1 species
CCUACGGGAGGCAGCAGUGGGGAAUAUUGGGCAAUGGGCGCAAGCCUGACCCAGCAACGCCGCGUGAAGGAAGAAGGCUUUCGGGUUGUAAACUUCUUUUCUCAGGGACGAAGAAAGUGACGGUACCUGAUGAAUAAGCCACGGCUAACUACGUGCCAGCAGCCGCGGUAAUACGUAGGUGGCAAGCGUUAUCCGGAUUUAUUGGGUGUAAAGGGCGUGUAGGCGGGAGCGCAAGUCAGAUGUGAAAACUCAGGGCUCAACCCUGAGCCUGCAUUUGAAACUGUGUUUCUUGAGUGCUGGAGAGGCAAGCGGAAUUCCGUGUGUAGCGGUGAAAUGCGUAGAUAUAAGGAGGAACACCAGUGGCGAAGGCGGAUUGCUGGACAGUAACUGACGCUGAGGCGCGAAAGCGUGGGGAGCAAACAGGAUUAGAUACCCCUGUAGUC